UGAGAAAUACUUAAAAAAGACAAAUUUGAAGGAUUGAGUAUAUUUUUUAAUUGUUAAAUAUAUAACUUUAAUAUAAGAUUUAAAAUUGAUAAAAUAAUGAAAUAUGAAAAGGUACAGAUUUGCUAACCUAAAAAAAAGAAAAUAGGGUACUACUUGAUUCUUUUUCAUGCUUGUACUUUACGUGAGUGCAUUUUUCUUAUUCCAUACAUGCAUAUUUGUC
rnacentral:lncRNA from 1 species